AAUUAAUAAGCUAAUUAGCACAUGUCUUGAAAACAUAAAUUAGAAGUUUAAAUCUUCUAUUAAUUU
rnacentral:tRNA from 1 species